UACGUAGGGUGCAAGCGUUAAUCGGAAUUACUGGGCGUAAAGCGUGCGCAGGCGGUGAUGUAAGGCAGGUGUGAAAUCCCCGGGCUUAACCUGGGAACUGCAUUUGUGACUGCAUCGCUGGAGUGCGGCAGAGGGGGAUGGAAUUCCGCGUGUAGCAGUGAAAUGCGUAGAUAUGCGGAGGAACACCGAUGGCGAAGGCAAUCCCCUGGGCCUGCACUGACGCUCAUGCACGAAAGCGGGUGGAGCAAACAGG
rnacentral:rRNA from 1 species